rnacentral:rRNA from 1 species
UACGGGGGGGAGCAAGCGUUGUUCGGAUUUACUGGGCGUAAAGCGCACGUAGGCGGCUUUUUAAGUCAGGGGUGAAAUCCUGGAGCUCAACUCCAGAACUGCCUUUGAUACUGAGAAGCUUGAGUCCGGGAGAGGUGAGUGGAACUGCGAGUGUAGAGGUGAAAUUCGUAGAUAUUCGCAAGAACACCAGUGGCGAAGGCGGCUCACUGGCCCGGUACUGACGCUGAGGUGCGAAAGCGUGGGGAGGCAAACAGGG